rfam:Salmo salar isolate Sally breed double haploid chromosome ssa17, whole genome shotgun sequence.
UUUUAAAUGAAAUGUAUGCAGUCACUCUGGAUAAGAGUGUCUGCUAAAUGACUAAAA